ACCCUAACCGUCGGGUCAAAAUAUGUGUAUUUUGUAUUUUUAGAUAUCAUAAAAUUGGCUCAUUUUCAUUUCUAUUGACCAUUUUUAGAUAAAGCCGGCGACCGAAGCCCCGGUGAACGGCGGCCGUAACUAUAGCGGUCCUAAGAUAGCGAAAUUCCUUGUCGGGUAAGUUCCGACCCGCACGAAA
rnacentral:ncRNA from 1 species